rnacentral:rRNA from 1 species
GACGUAGGGUGCGAGCGUUGUCCGGAUUUAUUGGGCGUAAAGAGCUCGUAGGCGGCUCGUCGCGUCGACCGUGAAAACCUGCAGCUUAACUGUGGGCGUGCGGUCGAUACGGGCAUCACUGGAGUUCGGCAGGGGAGACUGGAAUUCCUGGUGUAGCGGUGAAAUGCGCAGAUAUCAGGAGGAACACCUAUGGCGAAGGCAGCUCGCUGGGACGUUACUGACGCUGAGACGCGAAAGCGUGGGGAGCAAACAGG